AGGUUCGCGAAAUCGAGCGGAUCGGUUAAUUGCCGCGUAAUCGCCGGGCAAGAACGAGGCCCCGGUGAAAAGCCUUCGACGUCCUCAGACCGGGGUAAACCUUUUCAACCGCGCGCUCUCGUCGCGGCAAUAUUUGCAUCCGGUAAUUGGAAGGAUACCGCCCCGUCGGCACAGCUAAGGAACCUAUACAGCCUCUUUCGGGAGAGAGAGAGAGAGAAUGAGGAGGAAAGGCAAAAGGAGGUGGAGAAACGGUGGAAGAGGCGGCGCGGCUCGUUCGAGCGGAGAGCACGACCAUUCUGAAACACAUGUACACGAGGAUUCAACCUUCUGAGAAGCCUUGCAUCGCUGCCGCCCCCGCACCGAAAAGAAAGGCCCUCACCAUCGUGUAAACGUCGUGAUAAAAGAUCCCGAGAAAUUCUGCGGUAAGCUGAAUCGACCGAAUCCACGAUGCGACGCAACAAAAUGCCAACGUCGUCGGAAAUUAAGCCACUCGAUAAAGACGAUCGUGGCAAUCCUGUGAAUUACUCGAUUGGUCGUAUCGGAUCCGAUAACAAAAAGUUUCUAAGAGGAGAAAUAGUCGCGCAGGUUGGAGAUUUAAGGUGGCAAGGAUGAAAGAUUUCGUUUUAAUCCGUGAGAAAAUACUGAGAAUACUGCUGUUGAAAGGUUUACUACGCAGUGAGAAACUAACACUAUCAACGAAACGAAAGAAGCGUUGCACAAUGGGCGCCGGUUCGUGACCAUCCUGCAUGGAAUCAGUUAGCAAUGGACACACCGUAAUCGACAAUUUUUUUUAAACUCGUAUAUACUUUCGUAAUCUCUGUACAAUAUAUAAAAAGCUAACUAGCUUUUAGUUACAACAUCAAAUGCCACUUGCGAUUAGUUUUUAAAUUUCUCCGUCAUUGUAGGAAUCGAUGACGACAUAGUGUUACAACUGUUCUAUGGUAUAUACCAAAUGAUGUGAAAAAUAUCUAAUUAACUUUCAGCUUGCCUGUCCUUUAUUAUUGAAUUACUAAUCAAAUCUAAAUAAAACUAUGUGUAAAUAUUGAAAAGAAAUAAAG
rnacentral:misc_RNA from 1 species